AAAGACAACGAGGAAUUUUCAAAUUACAUAGUUCAGCUCGACGUCAUGCGGUGUAGAAAAGCUUGGCAAGGAGGGUGGCCACCUGCGGGAGGAGAGGACGGCCAUUCUGGACCAGACGAGGGACCUGGCCUACACCAACUACAAGACGUUCAUUCAUACAGCUGAUUGCUCGAGAACCAUUUUCAAAGACUUCACCAGUGUGAGAGCCACUUAGAAGGCUUGUCGUCAUGCCUGCCCAACCUUCGGAAAAGUGUGGAUGGGUUUUUGGCCACCUCGCGCAGCUUGGCCAGUCGCGGCACCUCACCUCACUCACGCUGACAAAGCACACACAGUUGCUGGAGAUCCUGGAGCUGCCACAGCUGAUGGACACAUGCGUGAGAAACAGCUACUAUGAAAGAAGCGUGGAGAUUUAGCAUAUGUGAGAAGGCUAGAGAAGAAAACACACAGACAUCCCUAUAAUAGCU